rnacentral:rRNA from 1 species
AGCAGUAGCCGCGGGAAUACGAGGGGGGCAAGCGUUGUUCGGAAUUAUUGGGCGUAAAGGGCGCGUAGGCGGUUUGACAAGUUUGGUGUGAAAUCUAUGGGCUCAACCCAUAGCCUGCAUCGAAAACUGUCGGGCUUGAGUAUGGGAGAGGUGAGUGGAAUUUCCGGUGUAGCGGUGAAAUGCGUAGAUAUCGGAAGGAACACCUGUGGCGAAAGCGGCUCACUGGACCAUUACUGACGCUGAGGCGCGAAAGCUAGGGGAGCAAACAGGAUUAGAUACCCGCGUAGUCCCUGUCUCUUAUAU